CUAAAGGCCCUUUUCAGGGCCACACACUUAGUCUGCGAAAGAGCU
rfam:Cricetulus griseus cell line CHO-K1, whole genome shotgun sequence.